rnacentral:pre_miRNA from 1 species
ACCGACGAGAUUGGGGUGAGGUAGUAGGUUGUAUAGUAAAGCACUACACCUAUUCUCGGAGACUGUACAGCCUGCUAACUUUCCCUAACCUUCGUCACU